rnacentral:lncRNA from 1 species
AUGUGUUUCAGCGUAGUUCAUUCUCUCUCUCUCUCUCGCUCUCGCUCUCGCUCUCUCCCCCCUCCCCCAACCCCACAGCAUCAGCCUCACAAGGAAAACAGCUCUGGAAAGAUCACUCAGCCUUCCCGCCACCUCCAGCGAAGUCUGUAUCCGAAUUGUCCCUGUAGCUGCUGGUUUGAUGAGAUCCUUGGCGCUCCAGGAUCCAGCAAUGCCUGGAGUCCACCUGGACUUCCAUGGUGGCCGAUGUCCCUGCAAGAAACGGAGAGACCCAGAUACAGAGACUACAAGGCUGGAAUUGGCUGGGUGCAAAGCCAAGCCGAGGAGACCAAGGAUUGCCAGCAGCCGCCAGAAGCUGGGAGAGUUGAGGAAGGCCCCUCCCCCUGGAGCCUGCAAGGGGAGCAGGCCCCUCCAACUCGGCCAUCUCCAGGCCCGGAAGAGGGGGCCCUUCUGCUGCUUGAAGCCUCAUCUUGGUACGGUGGCCACCGGGAACAGACUCGGACAACCGUCUUUGCAGAGGGUCUUUGCUCGGGGCCUCGGGACAUCCUCAGGUGUGCGCCUGUAACAGGCAGCACUGUGUGUGGUCAGGGUUUGGGGCCUGGAGCCGGCUGCCUGGGUCACCAGCAGCAGCCUAGCCGUGGACAGCAAGGAUCCCCUCCCCUUGCUCAGCGACGAGCUUCCUGGGGCAGCCUAACAGUCGAACAACCCAUAAUAGUUCUGUGCCUUCCUCUUGCAUAGUAACUUGCAAUCCCAUAAUAGUUGCUUAUGCAAAAAAAAUUCUCUGCUGAGCUGACUUCCCGGGGUCCCUGAUAAAAAUGGACAAAACUGCCUACAGCCACGCUUGUAGCUGGACGGGCAGACGGACUCACGCAGACCAGAGAGUGACCUUACAGUUCAUGGUCAUGAUAAAUGUCGCAGCGCCAGUGACACUUCAGCCACUGAACUGAGACGUACAUAGAGGCAGGAUCAGGCAAGGCCUCCGUAGCUGUGUUUCACCCAGUUCUACCCCAAUCGUCCUAACUCCACAAAUUCCCAGCGCCUUUCUGAGUGGGGACAUUGAUUUGGGCUUCAGCGGGACCGGCCCCUUUCUCUUUAUUUAAAGAUAAAUCUCAGGACUGGCGCUGUGGUGCAGGGGGCUGAGCCAUGAACAAGGACAGCAGCAGCCCAUGUGGGCGCUGGUUCAAGUCCCGGCUGCUCCACUUCUGAUGCAGCUCCCUGCUGAUGCACCUGGGAAAGCCGCGGAGGAUGGCCCAAGUGCUUGCACCCAGCGGGGAGACCCAGAAGAAGCUCCUAGCUUUGGCCUGCCCAGCCCUGGCUGUUGCAACAAUUUGGGGAGUGAAACGGUGGAUGGCAGCACUCUCUCUCUCUCUCUCUCUCUCUCUCUGUAUUGCCACCUUUCAAAUAAAAUAAAUGUCUUUUAAAAAUAUGCA